rnacentral:rRNA from 1 species
UACAGAGGGUGCGAGCGUUGUUCGGAAUUACUGGGCGUAAAGCGCGCGCAGGCGGCCCUUUAAGUCCGUCGGUCAAAUGCCGGGGCUCAACCCCGAUGCAUGCCGAGGAUACUGGAGGGCUGGAGACACGUAGAGGCAAGCGGAAUUCCGGGUGUAGCGGUGGAAUGCGUAGAGAUCCGGAAGAACGCCGGUGGCGAAAGCGGCCACCUGGGUCUGACCUGACGCUGAGGUGCGAAAGCGUGGGGAGCAAACCGG